rnacentral:rRNA from 1 species
GACGAACGCUGGCGGCGUGCCUAACACAUGCAAGUCGAGCGGAGCUAGUAGCAAUAUUAGUUUAGCGGCGGACGGGUGAGUAACGCGUGGGCAACCUGCCUUCUACAGGGGGAUAACACAGGGAAACUUGUGCUAAUACCGCAUAACAUACUUAAGGGACAUCCCUUGAGUCUCAAAGGUGCAAUCCGGUAGAAGAUGGGCCCGCGUCCGAUUAGCUAGUUGGGGGUGUAACGGACCACCAAGGCGACGAUCGGUAGCCGAACUGAGAGGUUGAUCGGCCACAUUGGGACUGAGACACGGCCCAGACUCCUACGGGAGGCAGCAGUGGGGAAUAUUGCGCAAUGGGGGAAACCCUGACGCAGCAACGCCGCGUGAAGGAUGAAGGUCUUCGGAUUGUAAACUUCUUUAGUCGGGGACGAAGAAGUGACGGUACCCGAAGAAUAAGCCACGGCUAACUACGUGCCAGCCGCCGCAGUAAGAC